AAUGAACGUUGGCGGCGUGGACUAGGCAUGCAAGUCGUGCGGAAAGGCUCCUUCGGGAGUACUCGAGCGGCGAAAGGGAGAGUAACGCGUGGAUAUCUACCCCCUGGCCUGGGAUAGCGGCGGGAAACUGCCGGUAAUACCAGAUAAUAUCUGCGGAUCAAAGGUGUGAUUCCGCCGGGGGAUGAGUCCGCGUCCUAUUAGCUAGUUGGUGAGGUAACGGCCCACCAAGGCUGAGAUAGGUACCGGGUGUGAGAGCAUGGCCCGGCUCACUGGGACUGAGACACUGCCCAGACACCUACGGGUGGCUGCAGUCGAGAAUCUUCGGCAAUGGGCGCAAGCCUGACCGAGCGACGCCGCGUGCGGGAUGAAGGCCUUCGGAUUGUAAACCGCUGUCAGAGGGGAGGAAAUGCAUGGGGGUUCUCCCUCAUGUUUGACCUAUCCUCAGAGGAAGUACGGGCUAAGUUCGUGCCAGCCGCCGCAGUAA
rnacentral:rRNA from 1 species